UAGGGAAUCUUCCACAAUGGACGCAAGUCUGAUGGAGCAACGCCGCGUGAGUGAAGAAGGUUUUCGGACCGUAAAGCUCUGUUGUUGGUGAAGAAGGAUAGAGGUAGUAAUUGGCCUUUAUUUGACGGUAAUCAACCAGAAAGUCACGGCUAACUACGUGCCAGCAGCCGCGGUAAUACGUAGGUGGCAAGCGUUGUCCGGAUUUAUUGGGCGUAAAGCGAGCGCAGGCGGAAGAAUAAGUCUGAUGUGAAAGCCCUCGGCUUAACCGAGGAAUUGCAUCGGAAACUGUUUUCUUGAGUGCAGAAGAGGAGAGUAGAACUCCAUGUGUAGCGGUGGAAUGCGUAGAUAUAUGGAAGAAUACCAGUGGCGAAGGCGGCUCUCUGGUCUGCAACUGACGCUGAGGCUCGAAAGCAUGGGUAGCGAACAGGAUUAGAUACCCUGGUAGUCCAUGCCGUAAACGAUGAGUGCUAAGUGUUGGGAGGCUUCCGCCUCUCAGUGCUGCAGCUAACGCAUUAAGCACUCCGCCUGGGGGAAUACGACCGCAAGGUUGAAAC
rnacentral:rRNA from 1 species